CCUACGGGGGGCUGCAGUGGGGAAUAUUGGGCAAUGGGCGCAAGCCUGACGCAGCAACGCCGCGUGAAGGAAGAAGGCUUUCGGGUUGUAAACUUCUUUUGUCAGGGACGAAGCAAGUGACGGUACCUGACGAAUAAGCCACGGCUAACUACGUGCCAGCAGCCGCGGUAAUACGUAGGUGGCAAGUGUUACUCGGAAUUACUGGGAGUAAAGGGCGUGUAGGCGGGACUGUAAGUCAGAUGUGAAAACCACGGGCUCAACCUGUGGCCUGCAUUUGAAACUGUUGUUCUUGAGUACUGGAGAGGCAGAUGGAAUUCCUGGUGUAGCGGUGAAAUGCGUAGAUAUUAGGAGGAACACCAGUGGCGAAGGCGGUCUGCUGGA
rnacentral:rRNA from 1 species